rnacentral:rRNA from 1 species
ACUCGAGUGGCGAACGGGUGAGUAACACGUGGGUGAUCUGCCCUGCACUUCGGGAUAAGCCUGGGAAACUGGGUCUAAUACCGGAUAGGAGCCAUUUUUAGUGUGGUGGUUGGAAAGUUUUUCGGUGUAGGAUGAGCUCGCGGCCUAUCAGCUUGUUGGUGGGGUAAUGGCCUACCAAGGCGGCGACGGGUAGCCGGCCUGAGAGGGUGGACGGCCACAUUGGGACUGAGAUACGGCCCAG